rnacentral:rRNA from 1 species
GAUCUUAUUUCUGAAUUGAAAAUUGCGGGGUUCACUUUGCCAGAUGACCGUAAUAUAUGCUAUGGAGAUGUCGAGCAUGUAAGAGAAGUUGGUAGUUAUCCUGAUAUCUCCAUUGCUUAUCGCAUCUUAUUUACUAUACCUGUGACUAUCGUAUAGGCCAGAAGAAGCUAUUUGAAGUUGAAAUUAUUGAGGAACUAUCUGAGGUCACCGAUGACCCAAGAGUGGUUAUAUGGUUUGGCAACAUUAUGGAAUCGAGAAGAAACUAUUGGAUGA